CCUACGGGAGGCAGCAGUAGGGAAUAUUGCUCAAUGGGGGAAACCCUGAAGCAGCAACGCCGCGUGGAGGAUGAAGGCUCUCGGAUUGUAAACCCCCUUUGUUAGAGAAGAUAAUGACGGUACCUAACGAAUAAGCACCGGCUAACUCCGUGCCAGCAGCCGCGGCUAUACGGAGGGUGUAAGCGUUACUCGGAAUCACUGGGCGUUAAGAGCGCGUAGGCGGGAUAGCAAGUCAGAUGUGAAAUCGUAUGGCUUAACCAUAGAACUGCAUUUGAAACUGUUAGUCUGGAGUAUGGGUGAGGUAGGUGGAAUUCUUGGUGUAGGGGUGAAAUCCGUAGAGAUCAAGAAGAACACUGAUUGCGAAGGCAGCCUACUAGAACGUAACUGACGCUGAUGCGCGAAAGCGUGGGGAGCAAACAGGAUUAGAUACCCGAGUAGUC
rnacentral:rRNA from 1 species